rnacentral:lncRNA from 1 species
UCAAGUUAGGAAUAGCCCCUUUAGGGUCAGAGGCCAAACAGCAUCUGGAAGCAUUUGCAAGAGGGGAAGUUGAAUCUAUCAAGACUUCCUGUUGCCUAGAGUUUGGAGUCCUGUUAUGAGGGUCGAUGGUAUCUUUAGUAUUGUUAGUUGGCUUGCUUAUCUUCAGAUUCUAACUAAGCAAGAGGCUGGGGCACAGAGCUGAGAAUGACCUACUCACCCUCUGUGAUCAAUACAGAUUGCCCAGAAAGUAAGCAGGUAAGCAAAUCCAUGCAGUGUGGUCAUUCACUGCUGUAGUUGAGGAAUAUAGAAAAUGUAUUGGGAGAGAAAGGAAGAAGUGUUUAAAUGCUCAUAGCAAGAGAGAUUCAGAGAAGGCAUGAAAGCUGUUGAAGCUGGAUCUUAAAGACAAGAAGUACCUUAAAGUCAGUGAGUUACCUGAAAGGCAUUCUGAGCAGUGUCUCUUUCCUAUAUUGAUAUUUCCUAUCUUUCCUAUCUUUCCAAGUGCAUAUUCAGGAAUGGUGGAUUGCUCUUUGAGCUAAAGUGUUGGGGUGUUGGAGGGAAGUAAAAGUAGAUGAAGCUGGAUGUGUGUAGAGGCCCAGAUCCAGAGUCCUUUGUGUUUUAUGACAAAGCUUAAAUAAAUACUAUUGGAGCUGAACUGUCCUGUGGAUAUCUAAGGUAGAGAGUGACAUCAGAAGCUCAGCAUGGAAAAAUUAGAGGUUAGAGCUGGGCUUGGUGGCUCACACCCAUAAUUCCUGUACUUGGGAGAUGAAAGCAGGAAGAUCAGGAUUUCAAGGCCAGCUUUGGCUACAUAGUGAUUUCCAGGCAAGCCCUGGCUACAUUAGACCACCUCUC